UACGUAGGGUGCAAGCGUUGCCCGGAUUUAUUGGGCGUAAAGGGCGCGUAGGCGGCUCGGCACGUCCGUUGUGAAAUCGCCCGGCUCAACUGGGCGGGGUCGAGCGAUACGGCCGAGCUGAGCAAGCUAGGGGGUAAUGGAAUUCCCGGUGUAGUGGUGGAAUGCGCAGAUAUCGGGAAGAACACCCGUGGCGAAGGCGGCUCUCUGGAACGCAACUGACGCUGAGACGCGAAAGCGUGGGGGAGCAAACAGGG
rnacentral:rRNA from 1 species